CCUACGGGCGCAGCAGGCGAGAAAACUUUGCAAUGUGCGAAAGCACGACAAGGUUAAUCCGAGUGGUUUGUGCUAAACGAACCUUUUGACAGUCCUAGAAACACUGUUGAAUAAGGGGUGGGCAAGUUCUGGUGUCAGCCGCCGCGGUAAAACCAGCACCUCAAGUGGUCAGGAUGAUUAUUGGGCCUAAAGCAUCCGUAGCCGGCUCUGUAAGUUUUCGGUUAAAUCUGUACGCUCAACGUACAGGCUGCCGGGAAUACUGCAGAGCUAGGGAGUGGGAGAGGUAGACGGUACUCGGUAGGAAGGGGUAAAAUCCUUUGAUCUAUUGAUGACCACCUGUGGCGAAGGCGGUCUACCAGAACACGUCCGACGGUGAGGGAUGAAAGCUGGGGGAGCAAACCGGAUUAGAUACCCUAGUAGUC
rnacentral:rRNA from 1 species